AUAAAAAUAAAUAAGGUUGUGAGUCAGUUUGUCCAGAUCUUCACAGAAAGAGGAAACAGAACAUGAGGAUUUCCAGAGGUGCAAAGCAUAAGGUAAUUUUUAAGGAUUCAGACAAUAUUCAGUAUGACUGGCAUAAGGUUUGUGUAGGAGUCUAACCAGGGGUGAAGCUAGAGAUCUAAGUAGGAGACCACAUCAUUAAGCAUCUUUACAAUCAUUAUAAGGGCAUUCUUAAUAUUCACACAAAGGCAAUUGGAACCCACUUAAAAUCAUGUCACUCCCCUUCCAAUUCUUCUGAUCCUCCAAUAUUGUGAUUGGUUCUUCAUUUUCUGCUCACUUGACCUCUUUCCACCAUCUUGCCACCCCUUCCUUUGAAUGGCAGAUAGGUUAAAUAGAUAGCUUACAUUUUAAAUCUUUUGGUGCAUUAUUUUCUGCAUAGUGCUUUGCUGGGGUGAUAUAUUUCCCCCUGUUAUUUCAAGAUUCAGAUUUUAGUCAUUUCUGAUUUUAAAAAGAAUGAUAUCUCACUCCAUAACCUAUAUUUAAAACUAAAAAUAAACGUAUUUUUACCAUUGUAUAAAAACCUUCUAAAAAGAGAAAAAGCAUUACUGUUAAAACAACUUGAUUUCACAAGCCAAAUUAGAGUUUCACAGGGAAACUGAAAAAGGGCAGAGGUAAUUUAGCUGAAAUUGGCAUGGCAGUUAUGUACCAUGUUGGUCAACCUUUUCAAAGGCAUAAAUCACAACAGGCUACAUCAGAUUGGGAACAAAAUCAUUUUGGUGGACUGAGAACUGUUUUUCAUUUCCACAGCUAGACUUGGAAUUUUCCAAACAAGCUGGAUAAGAGAAAGCCAUUUGUGCUGUGCCCUAGAAAACUAAAGACCUCUGCAGGUUCCAUAAAUACAUGAGCUAAUUGUUUGCUAUAUUCCAAAUAUUUCCAAUUUAUUUAAUGUAUCUCCUAAUGGGAAAAAAAACAGUAGGAAGUAGCACUGGCCAGUUAGAAGUUAGAGGCAGUAAGGCAUAGCAGAUAGGAACACGGGCUUUGAAGUCAGAUUCCUGUCUUUCCAUCAGGAAGAAGAACUUUCCAUAAUAGGAACUAUGUGUUCCUUACAAAUUUCUCUACAUUUCAAGCCUCCUCAUCUUUCAUAUAGUGC
rnacentral:lncRNA from 1 species